UUUGCAAAAGCUGAGCUCACAGCAAAAUCGACCAUGAGGCUGUCCCUGACAGUCUUUCUAGUCACUCUGGCCCUCCUCUGCUAUGAGGAAACUUCAUUUUGGGUAAUGACUUCUUCUACAAUAUCAAUCUUUUAAAAUUCGGUGGACCAUCAGAAGCUCAUGCGGCAAUGGUAAAAGUGAAGAAAUGUGUAACUACUUACCCCUACAAGGAGAGACUCAAUAUGUACGAAGUUGUG